rnacentral:rRNA from 1 species
ACGGGAGGCAGCAGUGGGGAAUAUUGCACAAUGGAGGAAACUCUGAUGCAGCGAUGCCGCGUGAGGGAAGAAGGUUUUAGGAUUGUAAACCUCUGUCUUUGGGGACGAUAAUGACGGUACCCAAGGAGGAAGCUCCGGCUAACUACGUGCCAGCAGCCGCGGUAAUACGUAGGGAGCGAGCGUUGUCCGGAAUUACUGGGUGUAAAGGGAGUGUAGGCGGGACUGCAAGUCAGAUGUGAAAACUAUGGGCUUAACCCAUGAGACUGCAUUUGAAACUGUAGUUCUUGAGUGAAGUAGAGGUAAGCGGAAUUCCUAGUGUAGCGGUGAAAUGCGUAGAUAUUAGGAGGAACAUCAGUGGCGAAGGCGGCUUACUGGGCUUUAACUGACGCUGAGGCUCGAAAGCGUGGGGAGCAAACAGGAUUAGAUACCCUGGUA